GUGGUGUGUUCAGAGGCAGGUGUGUUUCAUUCUCCUCAUUUGACAAAUGGAGAAAUUGAGCCCGUGGUCAGAGUUCUCUACCAUGUCUUCAGAAGUACUGUUUUUACACAUGAACCGAAGCCCACUUCAGUUUAACUUUGCGCAAGUGGAAAAGGAGGAGACAAAGGAGGAGAGACGUGCUGGAUAUUUAUUUUUCAGCUAACAAAGGGAGCUUGCACCAGGUAAGAUAAAGACACACACACACACACACACACACACAACUAUGAUGCAGAAUAAAACACGUUCUGCUCCUGUCAUGCGCCUAAGUGCUAUGAAGUCUCAAAGAAGGGAGAGGUCGCUUCCAGUCCCACUCCAGUGGAAGGGAAGAAAAUUCAGAGAAGGCUUCAUAGACUAAACAGCUUUUGAACUAGACCUUGAUGGGAUAGACAGAGAAAUAAGCAAGGAGAAGGUCAUUACAGGGAUGGAGAACUCUGGGAACAGAGAUGGCAAAGCGCCGAUGCAUCUGGAGGAAACUGAGUUCUUUAAUUUAGCUGGAGCUUGGAGAAUAUUAGAAGUAUAUGUGUGCAUGUGUGUGUGGUAUGAUGCGAAGGAUGAAGAGGUAGCAUGGUACCAUAUGUCAAGGGCCUAAAAUUUCAGACUAAGGAAUUUGGAUUUUAUCCUCAAGCAAUGCUACACCAUUGAAAAGUUUGAGCAAGAGAAUAACGUGGGUUUUGUGUUAGAAAGAUUAAUUUGCUUAUGGGUGCAGAAUGGGCAGAAAAGAUGUCUUGUUCUUCUAAAAUACCUGCAGUCCUGGGAGUGAGUGGUAUAGAAUAUGAAGGCUAUACUAUAUUUCUUUAUGUUUGUUUUGCCUUUAGUCAACGCAGCAGGUCUAGCAGUCAGACCUGCAGUCACUCAGGUACAUCUUUUUGUCCUCUUCAACCUCCUAGGGAAUUGAUUUAUUAGGAUAUUCACCUGAGACCAAUUCCAUGGUCAGGUGAUUUCCACAGGACCUUUAUCCUAAUAGCUCUGCCUCUUCACGGUGUCUCCACGUGAUUUGCAAGUUGGAAUGCAAUAGGAUGUUCCUUCCACAGGGCUUUAGCUGCCUGUGCUCUAGUUGUGGGGACAGAGCUCUAGUAUAGUCAAUGUAGUAAUUGGCAUCAAUUCCAGAUAUUACAGGAGAGGACAAUGGAGCUCACAGAUUGCACCAGUAGGUGCCACCUAAACCAGUUCUGUCGCUUUGUCUGCAACUACAACCAGGGAGCUGAGCAUGGGGCACCCCUCCCUCCACACUGAUUCU